UAGGGAAUCUUCCGCAAUGGACGCAAGUCUGACGGAGCAACGCCGCGUGAGUGAAGAAGGAUUUCGGUUCGUAAAACUCUGUUGUUAGAGAAGAACAGCGCAUAGAGUAACUGUUAUGCGUGUGACGGUAUCUAACCAGAAAGCCACGGCUAACUACGUGCCAGCAGCCGCGGUAAUACGUAGGUCCCGAGCGUUGUCCGGAUUUAUUGGGCGUAAAGCGAGCGCAGGCGGUUAGAUAAGUCUGAAGUUAAAGGCAGUGGCUCAACCAUUGUAGGCUUUGGAAACUGUUUAACUUGAGUGCAGAAGGGGAGAGUGGAAUUCCAUGUGUAGCGGUGAAAUGCGUAGAUAUAUGGAGGAACACCGGUGGCGAAAGCGACUCUCUGGUCUGUAACUGACGCUGAGGCUCGAAAGCGUGGGUAGCAAACAGG
rnacentral:rRNA from 1 species